rnacentral:tRNA from 1 species
GAGCGGUUUAGAAUAGUUGACUUUUAAUCAAGUUGUCCGGGGUUCGAAUCCCCGCACGCUCA